rnacentral:lncRNA from 1 species
AUUUGCUUUAGAAUUAACUUCAAGUUUGUCAGAAUUAUUAGGAAAUAAAGUGAAAACAAAUGACAAUAUAGAAAAGGAGAAAGAACAACCGUAAUGUAAGAUAUUCUCUAGUAGAACUGAUAACCUGGCUUCUAAAAGUCAGUAUCAUUAUUUUUAAAAAUGAGGGAAAGGGCUGCCAUAAAUUUUAAAAGACAUAGCGUCAAGCAUAACAUAACUCCUACUUUGAACAUACCGAUUGUAAAAAGACACUUUGGAUUGCCUAGAGCAUAUUCAAUACUAACUAAGUAUAGGUGAUAGUAAGGAAUUGUUAUGUACGAAAAUGUUCAUAUGUUUAAAGAUGCUUAAGAAUAUAAAAAUGAUGUGACAACUGGAAUUAACUUUAAAAUACUUAAGUAGAUAGUAUAAAUAGAGCAAGCAUAGCAAAAACCUAGGUAAUUGUAUAAACUAAAGAGUGGAUAGAAGGAAUCAUUCUAUAUUUUGCAUGGUUAAAGUGUAUCAAUGAAAUUUCUUUUUUGAAAAAGAG